CUACGUGCCAGCAGCCGCGGUAAUACGGAAGGUCCAGGCGUUAUCCGGAUUUAUUGGGUUUAAAGGGAGCGUAGGCUGGAGAUUAAGUGUGUUGUGAAAUGUAGACGCUCAACGUCUGAAUUGCAGCGCGAACUGGUUCACUUGAGUAUGCACAACGUAGGCGGAAUUCGUCGUGUAGCGGUGAAAUGCUUAGAUAUGACGAAGAACUCCGAUUGCGAAGGCAGCUUACGGGAGCACAACUGACGCUGAAGCUCGAAGGUGCGGGUAUCAAACAGGAUUAGAUACCCUGGUAGUCCGCACAGUAAACGAUGGAUGCCCGUUGUUAGUUCACUUACGAAUUAGCGACCAAGCGAAAGCAUUAAGCAUCCCACCUGGGGAGUACGCCGGCAACGGUGAAACUCAAAGGAAUUGACGGGGGCCCGCACAAGCGGAGGAACAUGUGGUUUAAUUCGAUGAUACGCGAGGAACCUUACCCGGGCU
rnacentral:rRNA from 1 species